rnacentral:rRNA from 1 species
UACGUAGGGUCCGAGCGUUGUCCGGAAUUACUGGGCGUAAAGGGCGCGUAGGCGGUGGGGUAAGUCUGGUGUGAAAUCUCGGAGCUCAACUUCGAAAUUGCACUGGAUACUGCUCUGCUAGAGGGCUGGAGAGGAGAUCGGAAUUCACGGUGUAGCAGUGAAAUGCGUAGAUAUCGUGAGGAAGACCAGUGGCGAAGGCGGAUCUCUGGACAGCUCCUGACGCUGAGGCGCGAAGGCUAGGGGAGCAAACGGG